GCGCGAAAAACUUCGCAAUGCGCGAAAGCGUGACGAGGUCAGCCCGAGUGCCGUCCGCUGAGGACGGCUUUUCUUUGGUUUAAGGAGCCAGGGGAAUAAGAGGAGGGUAAGUCUGGUGUCAGCCGCCGCGGUAAUACCAGCUUCUCGAGUGGUGGGGACGAUUAUUGGGCCUAAAGCGUCCGUAGCUUGCUUGUCAAGUCUUCCGUUAAAUCCGACGAUUCAAUCGUUGAUCCGCGGAGGAUACUGUCAAGCUUGGGGGCGGAAGAGGCUGGCGGUAUUCCCAGGGUAGGGGUGAAAUCCUAUAAUCCCGGGAGGACCACCAGUGGCGAAGGCGGCCAGCUAGCACGCGCCCGACGGUGAGGGACGAAAGCUGGGGGAGCAAACCGGAUUAGAUACCCGGGUAGUCCCAGCUGUAAACGAUGCAGACUAGGUGUUGGAACGGCUACGUGCCGUUUCAGUGCCGCAGAGAAGUCAUUAAGUCUGCCGCCUGGGGGAUACGGCCGCAAGGCUGGAAAACUUAAAGGAAUUGGGCGGGGGAGCGAACCACG
rnacentral:rRNA from 1 species